AACUCCUUAUCGCCUCUCCCACGGAGGCACACCACACCUAAAGAAAUGUAAAUGUUCCGAUUGCGCCUCCCUUUGUUGAGGAAAGCACAAGGACAAAGAGACUAAACCAACUUAAAAUCGCUCCUAACUUCCCUGCGAAGCCACACAAAAAACUGCAAACACCACACCAAAGCAAGGCACACUUCGGUUUCAAAAUCCGCAGUUAAUUUUAAGCUAACACAACACUUUCUAGGUUUCAACAAAGUGAAUAAACUUCUUGGAGAGGCGCACACGUUUUUUAAGUCAAAAAACGUGUAUCACUUCCUUACUUCCCCAAGAGGCGCACAAGAAAGUGGUUCAAAUUUCACACUUAAGUUGCAAGAUCCUUAAGUCACAAAAUGCAGAGAGGUCUUCCCGAGGAGGCACACACGUAUUAAAUGCAAUUAGACAAGAUUCAUACGUCCUCGAGAGGUACACACAUAAAUAGUAAAGUUUCAGAGUAUGAAGCGAUCUUCCUGGAGAGGUGCUCACGUCUAAGUUAUCAAAAAGUAUCGCUUCUUGCAACUCCAGGAGGUACACACAGAAAGUUUCAGACUAUUAUCUGGAAGGACAACACUCUCACGGCGGGUAUCCUGCCGACUACGCCAUAAAAAAUGUGUCUCACUCCAAUUUAUAGGAGGGAGAGGAG
ensembl:lncRNA